GGCUUAAUGAUUAUAAUUUUAAGUCAAUCUGCCCAAUGAUAUUAUAUUAAAUGGCUGCAGUAUAAUUAACUGUACAAAGGUAGCAUAGUCAAUUGUUUUUUAAUUGGAAACUGGAAUGAAAGAAUUAAUGAGAUAUAUACUGUCUCAUAUAUAUGAUAUUAAGUUAAAUUUUUAGUUAAAAUGCUGAAAUAGAUUUAUGGGACGAUAAGACCCUAUAGAAUUUUAUAUUAAAAUUUAAAAUAUAUUAAUUUUUAGGUUUUAAUAUUUGAUUGGGAGGAUUAAUAAAUUUAAUUAACUUUAUUUUAAAAAUAUACUUUGAUUUAAGGAUUAUAUUAAUGAUUUUGUAUUAUAGAUUAUAAGAAAAAAUUACCUUAGGGAUAACAGCGUAAUAUCUUUUUAAAGACCGAAUUUAUAAAGAUGAUUGCGACCUCGAUGUUGAAUUAAGAUAAAUUUUAAAUGGAGAAGUUUAAUAAUUAAGUCUGUUCGACUUUUAAAAUCUUACAUGAUUUGAGUUCAAAUCGACGUGAGU
rnacentral:rRNA from 1 species